UACGUAGGGGGCAAGCGUUGUCCGGAAUUAUUGGGCGUAAAGAGCGUGUAGGCGGUCCGGUAAGUCCGCUGUGAAAGUCCAGGGCUCAACCCUGGAAUGCCGGUGGAUACUGCCGGGCUAGAGUCCGGAAGAGGCGAGUGGAAUUCCUGGUGUAGCGGUGAAAUGCGCAGAUAUCAGGAGGAACACCAAUGGCGAAGGCAGCUCGCUGGGACGGUACUGACGCUGAGACGCGAAAGCGUGGGGAGCAAACAGG
rnacentral:rRNA from 1 species